GACAGAGGUGCCGAGCGUUAGGCGGAAUCACUGGGCUUAAAGCGUGUGUAGGCGGAUCUGUAAGUACCUUGUGAAAUCCCACGGCUCAACCGUGGAACUGCUUGGUAUACUGCGGGUCUUGAGCCACCUAGGGGCAAGUGGAACAAACGGUGGAGCGGUGAAAUGCGUAGAUAUCGUUUGGAACGCCAAUGGUGAAAACAGACUGCUGGGGAUGCGCUGACGCUGAGACACGAAAGCCAGGGGAGCGAACGGG
rnacentral:rRNA from 1 species